GUGGGGAAUUUUGGACAAUGGGCGCAAGCCUGAUCCAGCAAUGCCGCGUGCAGGAAGAAGGCCUUCGGGUUGUAAACUGCUUUUGUACGGAACGAAACGGUCCGGGUUAAUACCCUGGGCUAAUGACGGUACCGUAAGAAUAAGCACCGGCUAACUACGUGCCAGCAGCCGCGGUAAUACGUAGGGUGCAAGCGUUAAUCGGAAUUACUGGGCGUAAAGCGUUCGCAGGCGGUUUUGUAAGACAGGCGUGAAAUCCCCGGGCUCAACCUGGGAAUUGCGCUUGUGACUGCAAGGCUGGAGUGCGGCAGAGGGGGAUGGAAUUCCGCGUGUAGCAGUGAAAUGCGUAGAUAUGCGGAGGAACACCGAUGGCGAAGGCAAUCCCCUGGGCCUGCACUGACGCUCAUGCACGAAAGCGUGGGGAGCAAACAGGAUUAGAAACCCCUGUAGUCC
rnacentral:rRNA from 1 species